rnacentral:rRNA from 1 species
AGAGUUUGAUCCUGGCUCAGGAUGAACGCUGGCGGCGUGCUUAACACAUGCAAGUCGAGCGAAGCACUUAGGAAAGAUUCUUCGGAUGAUUUCCUAUUUGACUGAGCGGCGGACGGGUGAGUAACGCGUGGGUAACCUGCCUCAUACAGGGGGAUAACAGUUAGAAAUGACUGCUAAUACCGCAUAAGACCACAGCACCGCAUGGUGCAGGGGUAAAAACUCCGGUGGUAUGAGAUGGACCCGCGUCUGAUUAGUUAGUUGGUGGGGUAACGGCCUACCAAGGCGACGAUCAGUAGCCGACCUGAGAGGGUGACCGGCCACAUUGGGACUGAGACACGGCCCAAACUCCUACGGGAGGCAGCAGUGGGGAAUAUUGCACAAUGGGGGAAACCCUGAUGCAGCGACGCCGCGUGAAGGAAGAAGUAUCUCGGUAUGUAAACUUCUAUCAGCAGGGAAGAUAGUGACGGUACCUGACUAAGAAGCCCCGGCUAACUACGUGCCAGCAGCCGCGGUAAUACGUAGGGGGCAAGCGUUAUCCGGAUUUACUGGGUGUAAAGGGAGCGUAGACGGACUGGCAAGUCUGAUGUGAAAGGCGGGGGCUCAACCCCUGGACUGCAUUGGAAACUGUUAGUCUUGAGUGCCGGAGAGGUAAGCGGAAUUCCUAGUGUAGCGGUGAAAUGCGUAGAUAUUAGGAGGAACACCAGUGGCGAAGGCGGCUUACUGGACGGUAACUGACGUUGAGGCUCGAAAGCGUGGGGAGCAAACAGGAUUAGAUACCCUGGUAGUCCACGCCGUAAACGAUGAA